AUUAGAUAGCAAAACCAAGAAAAAAACCAAGUCAUAAACUAAACAAAUAUGCCAGAUUCUUUCAUGCUAGA
rnacentral:ribozyme from 1 species